GUUGGCGAGUGUGAAGAGAGAGGAGGAGCGUUUGCGGCCUCAGCGUCUGUCAACAGGUGAGCGUUUCCUGGAGCUUUUCUGAGUGGCUCCUGACCCUUGAGGUCCAGCGGCGCGGGAGUCCGUUGUGAACGUUGCGAACGUUCGGAGUGGCGGUCACGAGGCGCGCUCAGACCUCGGGAAUCCGGCCGGGUUCGGAUCCCGCUUUCGCCCCCGAGGGGUUCGGAUCCCGCUCUCGCCCCCGAGGGGUUCGGAUCCCGCUCUCGCCCCCGAGGGGUUCGGAUCCCGCUCUCGCCCCCGAGGGGUUUGGAUCCCUCUCUCGCCCCCUUGAGGGCUCUUGGGAGGUUUCAAGCGGACGGUACUGAAAAUGGGAGUUCCAGUUCGGGGGCAGACCAGUGUUCAGAGUCCGGGCUCUGCUACUCAGCGCCCGAGGCAGCGCCUCCCCAUUCAACGGGGGCCGUGGCAAUUCCCUGACAUGAUUCAUGACCACAUAAUACAUCCGGAAACUUCUCUCCACCGCCUCCCGUCUGGGCCGUCGCCCCCGGCCUGGGAGACUCCAGGUCUCAGAGUCUCUGCCCCCACGGGCGAUCAGUGCUGCCCAGUGGAAAAAUAAUGCCAGCCGCGCACCAAAAUUAGGUGUAAAAUUAACAUUUUUUGGAAGCCACUUUUUUUUUUUUGAGAUGGAAUCUCGCGCUGUCACUCAGGCUGGAGUGCAAUGGCGCGAUCUCGGCUCACUGCAACCUCUACCUCCCGGGUUCAAGCGAUUCUCCUGCCUCAGCCUCCUGAGUAGCUGGGAUUACAGGUGCCCACCACCACAACCAGCUAAUUUUUUUUCUGUAUUUUCAGUAGAGACGGGGUUUCACCAUGUUGGCCAGGCUGGUCUCGAACUCCUGACCUCAAGUGAUCCGCCCGCCUCGGCCUUCCAGAGUGCUGGGAUUACAGGCGUGAGCCACUGUGCCCGGCCAUAUCUUUUUUUAUUAUUAUUUGUAAUUUUAGAGGCUGGUCAUGGAGGAUUUCUUGAGGCCAGGAGUUCAAGAUCAGCCUGGGCAACAUAACAAGACCUCAUAUCUACAAAAAAUAAAAGAAUAAGCCAGGUGUGGUAGUGCAUACCUGUAGUGUCUGCUACUCCUGAAGCUGAGGCAGGAGGAUCUCUUGAGCCCAGAAUGCUCCAGCCACUGCACUCCAGCCUGAGUGUCAGAGUGAGACCCUGUCUCUAAAAAUUAAAAUUAAAUUUUAAAAAAGAAAGUUCAGUUUAGCUGUCUUGAUAGCCGCAGUUGAGUGCUCCUGAGCCCGUGUGACAAGUGGCUCCUGUAUUACUGGACAGCGAAGGUCAGAAACACAUUUGACCAGGUCACUUCUCCGGAUGAGAGCAUUGUCUUUGAAACUCUAUGCUUUGUCUCCUGUUAACCACCCAGCUCCAACUUCAAACCAGGCUAAGUAACCCUCUUUUUGUUAAAAUUCUGACAAGCCACUCCCAGUGCAAAGCCUCUGCCCAGAACCUCUUCUCCUAGGCUCUUGGCAUGGCUUAUGCCUUCUUGUCAUUCAAGUCUCUGUUCAAAUGUCCUCUCCCCAGAGAGGCCUUUCUAAGGGUGCUCUGGACAGUGUUCAAACUCACAGGCCGUACGCCUGAACAGCACUGAGCCAAGGCACUAGUAUUUCUUACCCAGUCACCUCUGUGGGCUCACUAGGACUCACUCACUGUGCUAGUAUGUUUUCCUUUUCCUUUUCUUUUUAAACAAUCCAGUUCCUGUGGGAUUUUUUUUUUUUAAUAGAGGUCUGUUGCCCAGGCUGGAGUGCAAGUGGCAUAAUCGUGGCUCACUAUAACCUGGAACUCUUGGGCUCAAGUGAUCCUCCCACCUCAGCCUCCCGAGUGGCUGGGAUCACCAGUGCGUGCCACCAUGCCUAAUUUGUUUUAUUUUAUUUUAUUUUUUUUUUGAGAGGGAGUCUUGCUCUGUCACUCAGGCUGGAAUGCAGUGGCGCAAUCUCAGCUCACUGCAACCUCCUGCUUCCAGCUUCAAGCGAUUCUCCCACCUCAGCCUCCCGAGUAGCUGGGACUACAGGCACACGCUACCUUACCCAGCUAAUUUUUGUAUUUUUAGUAAAGAUGGGGUUUCACUAUGUUGGCCAGGCUGGUCUCAAACUCCUGACCUCAGGUGAUCCACUCACCUCGGCCGCCCAAAGUGCUGAGAUU
rnacentral:lncRNA from 1 species